ensembl:lncRNA
GGAAAUGCAAUUCCCGACAGCUUAUAGUGAAUCAGGGUCCAAGAAACACAAUUUGGUUUUUGAUGUGCUUGCUCAUGUAUGAAAUGUAGUUUAGUUUUCAACAACAAUGACAAACGUACAGUGUAACAUUUUUUUUCUUCCAAAAAGCAUUUAACUAUUUUGUUCAUAUGUGUUUGUUUGUUUAUAUUUGUAAUGUGUAUCAUAGUAAAGUGUAUACUGACAGUUCUUAAGCACUUGAGCAGCUAACUGAACUUAAACUUAAUUUCAGAGGCGCAACUUUGUUCAUUACUCUGCCCUGACUAAUUUAAAGCCACACACACACACACACACACACACACACACACAGUUCGCACUGUAGUUUACAUAGUUUAGUUUACUGCAGUUCAGCAGCGAAAAGGGGCUGGCUGGAUUCUCUGAGACACUUCAGAGGGAAACCAUUUAACCUGAGAGGCGCGCGACCGUCAGCUUGUCUCGCGCAGUACACUUUCAGUAUUACAAGCUCUCUUCUAGUGUGCGUCACAUCGUUGCGUCUCCUUUCACCCGCAGAUGAAAUAAAGGUCUACCCGAGUCUCAAAAGAGGAUUCAAGAACAAGGAUAAUAUUUUAACCAUAAUGCCAAAAAUGGUUUCAACUGGGGAUUCAAAAGACGUGUCAAAGUCAUCACAGAGCAAUGGACAUCACACAUCACAAAUAUUUCAUUGUUUAACAACCCUCGUAUGUUUCAUGUUGUCGGCGUCUUCGGUGGCAGUUUGUCUGUUUAUGAACGUUAAAACAUCUCAACUUGAGCGUAAAAUUGAGCUUCUGGAGAUGGAGCGACUGUCUGUGAUUGAACCUGUGCACGCGACACUGGAUGCGAACGCGACUCUUCGGGAUGCGAUAGAGAAACUUGUGCAAGAGAGACUCAAAGAGGGUGUGUCGAAAAUUCGCACAGCUCGAGAAGCAGCGCAAGAGUGCUCCUGUCCUCCAGGUCCUCCAGGAAAACGGGGAAGAAAAGGCAACCCUGGUGAGUACCUGUACAUGAUACACACAUUUAUACACAUCCCAUAAUUUAAAAAUGACCUGAAC